rnacentral:rRNA from 1 species
AUUGGCUCAGGAUGAACGCUAGCUACAGGCUUAACACAUGCAAGUCGAGGGGCAGCAUGAACUUAGCUUGCUAAGUUUGAUGGCGACCGGCGCACGGGUGAGUAACACGUAUCCAACCUGCCGAUGACUCGGGGAUAGCCUUUCGAAAGAAAGAUUAAUACCCGAUGGCAUAGUUCUUCCGCAUGGUAGAACUAUUAAAGAAUUUCGGUCAUCGAUGGGGAUGCGUUCCAUUAGGUUGUUGGCGGGG